rnacentral:rRNA from 1 species
AUGGCUCAGGACAAACGCUGGCGGCGUGCCUAACACAUGCAAGUCGAACGAAGCACUGUGGAAAGAGACUCGGUCAAUUGAAACUUGACUAGUGGCGGACGGGUGAGUAAUGCAUGAGCAACCUGCCCUGGAGAGGGGGACAACAGCUGGAAACGGCUGCUAAUACCGCAUGAUGUCGUCGGAGGGCAUCCUCUGACGACCAAAGAUUUAUCGCUCUGGGAUGGGCUCAUGUCUGAUUAGAUAGUUGGCGGGGCAACGGCCCACCAAGUCUGCGAUCAGUAGCCGGACUGAGAGGUUGAACGGCCACAUUGGGACUGAGAUACGGCCCAGACUCCUACGGGAGGCAGCAGUGGGGAAUAUUGGGCAAUGGGCGCAAGCCUGACCCAGCAACGCCGCGUGAAGGAAGAAGGCUUUCGGGUUGUAAACUUCUUUUAUCAGGGACGAAGAAAGUGACGGUACCUGAUGAAUAAGCCACGGCUAACUACGUGCCAGCAGCAGC